rnacentral:rRNA from 1 species
CGGAUUCCUUGGGCGUAAAGGGUGCGUAGGUGGCGAGGUAAGUCAGGUGUGAAAUCUCGGGGCUCAACCCCGAAACUGCACUUGAUACUGCCUUGCUCGAGUACUGGAGAGGAGAUUGGAAUUUACGGUGUAGCAGUGAAAUGCGUAGAUAUCGUAAGGAAGACCAGUGGCGAAGGCGAAUCUCUGGACAGUUACUGACACUGAGGCACGAAGGCCAGGGGAGCAAACGGG